UACGUAGGGUGCAAGCGUUGUCCGGAAUUAUUGGGCGUAAAGAGCUCGUAGGCGGUUUGUCGCGUCUGCUGUGAAAUCCUGAGGCUCAACCUCAGGUCUGCAGUGGGUACGGGCAAGCUAGAGUGCGGUAGGGGAGAUGGGAAUUCCUGGUGUAGCGGUGGAAUGCGCAGAUAUCAGGAGGAACACCGAUGGCGAAGGCACAUCUCUGGGCCGUAACUGACGCUGAGGAGCGAAAGCGUGGGGAGCGAACAGG
rnacentral:rRNA from 1 species